GCAGAGGCACGGAUGGUCGCUUCAUGCCGGGAGCAUGAAGAGGAAAGUCCGGGCAACAUAGAGCACCAUACUUUCUAACGGAAAGCCGGUGGCGACGCCGGGGACAAUGUGACAGAAAACAACCGCCAUCCCGACUUAGCGCCGAUGAGGCGCAGGGGUCGGGCUGGCAAGGGUGAAAAGGCGGGGUAAGAGCCCACCGCCCGUAUGGCGACAUGCGGGGCCGCACAUCCUAUGCGUUGCAAGGCCAAGUAUACCGGCAGUCAAGGAUUGCUCGUCCAUUGCCGGGGGGUAGGCCGCUAAAGUCUGCGUGCAAACGCAGCCACUCAGAUAAAUGACCGUCAGGGCCACCCUAUGGAUGCCGCCUGCUCAUGCAGCGAUGGCACAGGAGUGUCCCCACAUAACCCGGCUUAUAGUGCCUCUGCCCCU
rnacentral:RNase_P_RNA from 1 species